rnacentral:rRNA from 1 species
UACGAAGGGGGCUAGCGUUGCUCGGAAUCACUGGGCGUAAAGCGCACGUAGGCGGGUCUUAAGUCGGAGGUGAAAUCCUGGAGCUCAACUCCAGAACUGCCUCGAUACUGAGGAUCUCGAGUCCGGGAGAGGUGAGUGGAACUGCGAGUGUAGAGGUGAAAUUCGUAGAUAUUCGCAAGAACACCAGUGGCGAAGGCGGCUCACUGGCCCGGUACUGACGCUGGAGGUGACGAAAGCGUGGGGAGCAAACAGG